UUUAUGGAGAGUUUGAUCCUGGCUCAGGAUGAACGCUGGCGGCGUGCCUAAUACAUGCAAGUCGAGCGAACGGACAAGGAGCUUGCUCCUUUGAAGUUAGCGGCGGACGGGUGAGUAACACGUGGGUAACCUACCUAUAAGACUGGAAUAACUCCGGGAAACCGGGGCUAAUGCCGGAUAACAUGUUGAACCGCAUGGUUCAAUAGUGAAAGACGGUCUUGCUGUCACUUAUAGAUGGACCCGCGCCGUAUUAGCUAGUUGGUGGGGUAACGGCCUACCAAGGCGACGAUACGUAGCCGACCUGAGAGGGUGAUCGGCCACACUGGAACUG
rnacentral:rRNA from 1 species